rnacentral:rRNA from 1 species
GACAGAGGGGGCAAGCGUUGCUCGGAAUCACUGGGCGUAAAGGGCGCGUAGGCGGGAAGCCAAGUCGGUCGUGAAAUCUCCGGGCUCAACCCGGAGGAGUCGGCCGAAACUGGUUUUCUUGAGGGAGGCAGAGGAGUCUGGAAUUCCCGGUGUAGCGGUGAAAUGUGUAGAGAUCGGGAGGAACACCGGUGGCGAAGGCGGGACUCUGGGCCUACCCUGACGCUGAGGCACGAAGGCCAGGGGAGCAAACGGG